rnacentral:rRNA from 1 species
CUCCAGGUGCGAGGGCAUAUAGUCCUCGCUUUUCUCGACCGUAGGGAGGUUGAGGAACAAGUGCUGGGCAAGACCGGUGCCAGCCGCCGCGGUAAUACCGGCAGCACAAGUGAUGACCGCUGUUAUUGGGCCUAAAGCGUCCGUAGCUGGCCAGACAAGUUUAUCGGGAAAUCUGUGCGCCUAACGCACAGGCGUCCGGUGGAAACUGCCUGGCUUGGGACCGGAAGACCUGAGGGGUACGUCUGGGGUAGGAGUGAAAUCCCGUAAUCCUGGACGGACCACCGGUGGCGAAAGCGCCUCAGGAAGACGGAUCCGACGGUGAGGGACGAAAGCUCGGGUCACGAACCGGAUUAGAUACCCGGGUAGUCCGAGCUGUAAACGAUGUCUGCUAGGUGUGACACAGGCUACGAGCCUGUGUUGUGCCGUAGGGAAGCCGUGAAGCAACCGCCUGGGAAGUACGUCCGCAAGGAUGAAACUUAAAGGAAUUGGCGGGGGAGCACA